rnacentral:rRNA from 1 species
GAUUAAGUUAUUAAGGGCGCACGGUGGAUGCCUUGGCACUAGAAGCCGAUGAAGGACGUUACUAACGACGAUAUGCUUUGGGGAGCUGUAAGUAAGCUUUGAUCCAGAGAUUUCCGAAUGGGGAAACCCAGCAUGAGUUAUGUCAUGUUAUCGAUAUGUGAAUACAUAGCAUAUCAGAAGGCACACCCGGAGAACUGAAACAUCUUAGUACCCGGAGGAAGAGAAAGAAAAUUCGAUUCCCUUAGUAGCGGCGAGCGAAACGGGAAGAGCCCAAACCAACAAGCUUGCUUGUUGGGGUUGUAGGACACUCUAUACGGAGUUACAAAGGACGACAUUAGACGAAUCAUCUGGAAAGAUGAAUCAAAGAAGGUAAUAAUCCUGUAGUCGAAAAUGUUGUCUCUCUUGAGUGGAUCCUGAGUACGACGGAGCACGUGAAAUUCCGUCGGAAUCUGGGAGGACCAUCUCCUAAGGCUAAAUACUCUCUAGUGACCGAUAGUGAACCAGUACCGUGAGGGAAAGGUGAAAAGCACCCCGGAAGGGGAGUGAAAUAGAACCUGAAACCGUGUGCUUACAAGUAGUCAGAGCCCGUUAAUGGGUGAUGGCGUGCCUUUUGUAGAAUGAACCGGCGAGUUACGAUUUGAUGCAAGGUUAAGCAGUAAAUGUGGAGCCGUAGCGAAAGCGAGUCUGAAUAGGGCGUUUAGUAUUUGGUCGUAGACCCGAAACCAGGUGAUCUACCCUUGGUCAGGUUGAAGUUCAGGUAACACUGAAUGGAGGACCGAACCGACUUACGUUGAAAAGUGAGCGGAUGAACUGAGGGUAGCGGAGAAAUUCCAAUCGAACCUGGAGAUAGCUGGUUCUCUCCGAAAUAGCUUUAGGGCUAGCCUCAAGUGAUGAUUAUUGGAGGUAGAGCACUGUUUGGACGAGGGGCCCCUCUCGGGUUACCGAAUUCAGACAAACUCCGAAUGCCAAUUAAUUUAACUUGGGAGUCAGAACAUGGGUGAUAAGGUCCGUGUUCGAAAGGGAAACAGCCCAGACCACCAGCUAAGGUCCCAAAAUAUAUGUUAAGUGGAAAAGGAUGUGGCGUUGCCCAGACAACUAGGAUGUUGGCUUAGAAGCAGCCAUCAUUUAAAGAGUGCGUAAUAGCUCACUAGUCGAGUGACACUGCGCCGAAAAUGUACCGGGGCUAAACAUAUUACCGAAGCUGUGGAUUGUCCUUUGGACAAUGGUAGGAGAGCGUUCUAAGGGCGUUGAAGCAUGAUCGUAAGGACAUGUGGAGCGCUUAGAAGUGAGAAUGCCGGUGUGAGUAGCGAAAGACGGGUGAGAAUCCCGUCCACCGAUUGACUAAGGUUUCCAGAGGAAGGCUCGUCCGCUCUGGGUUAGUCGGGUCCUAAGCUGAGGCCGACAGGCGUAGGCGAUGGAUAACAGGUUGAUAUUCCUGUACCACCUAUAAUCGUUUUAAUCGAUGGGGGGACGCAGUAGGAUAGGCGAAGCGUGCGAUUGGAUUGCACGUCUAAGCAGUAAGGCUGAGUAUUAGGCAAAUCCGGUACUCGUUAAGGCUGAGCUGUGAUGGGGAGAAGACAUUGUGUCUUCGAGUCGUUGAUUUCACACUGCCGAGAAAAGCCUCUAGAUAGAAAAUAGGUGCCCGUACCGCAAACCGACACAGGUAGUCAAGAUGAGAAUUCUAAGGUGAGCGAGCGAACUCUCGUUAAGGAACUCGGCAAAAUGACCCCGUAACUUCGGGAGAAGGGGUGCUCUUUAGGGUUAACGCCCAGAAGAGCCGCAGUGAAUAGGCCCAAGCGACUGUUUAUCAAAAACACAGGUCUCUGCUAAACCGUAAGGUGAUGUAUAGGGGCUGACGCCUGCCCAGUGCUGGAAGGUUAAGAGGAGUGGUUAGCUUCUGCGAAGCUACGAAUCGAAGCCCCAGUAAACGGCGGCCGUAACUAUAACGGUCCUAAGGUAGCGAAAUUCCUUGUCGGGUAAGUUCCGACCCGCACGAAAGGCGUAACGAUUUGGGCACUGUCUCAACGAGAGACUCGGUGAAAUCAUAGUACCUGUGAAGAUGCAGGUUACCCGCGACAGGACGGAAAGACCCCGUGGAGCUUUACUGUAGCCUGAUAUUGAAAUUCGGCACAGCUUGUACAGGAUAGGUAGGAGCCUUUGAAACGUGAGCGCUAGCUUACGUGGAGGCGCUGGUGGGAUACUACCCUAGCUGUGUUGGCUUUCUAACCCGCACCACUUAUCGUGGUGGGAGACAGUGUCAGGCGGGCAGUUUGACUGGGGCGGUCGCCUCCUAAAAGGUAACGGAGGCGCUCAAAGGUUCCCUCAGAAUGGUUGGAAAUCAUUCAUAGAGUGUAAAGGCAUAAGGGAGCUUGACUGCGAGACCUACAAGUCGAGCAGGGUCGAAAGACGGACUUAGUGAUCCGGUGGUUCCGCAUGGAAGGGCCAUCGCUCAACGGAUAAAAGCUACCCCGGGGAUAACAGGCUUAUCUCCCCCAAGAGUUCACAUCGACGGGGAGGUUUGGCACCUCGAUGUCGGCUCAUCGCAUCCUGGGGCUGUAGUCGGUCCCAAGGGUUGGGCUGUUCGCCCAUUAAAGCGGUACGCGAGCUGGGUUCAGAACGUCGUGAGACAGUUCGGUCCCUAUCCGUCGUGGGCGUAGGAAAUUUGAGAGGAGCUGUCCUUAGUACGAGAGGACCGGGAUGGACAUACCUCUGGUGUACCAGUUGUCGUGCCAACGGCAUAGCUGGGUAGCUAUGUGUGGACGGGAUAAGUGCUGAAAGCAUCUAAGCAUGAAGCCCCCCUCAAGAUGAGAUUUCCCAACUUCGGUUAUAAGAUCCCUCAAAGAUGAUGAGGUUAAUAGGUUCGAGGUGGAAGCAUGGUGACAUGUGGAGCUGACGAAUACUAAUCGAUCGAAGACUUAAUCAA